rnacentral:rRNA from 1 species
GACAGAGGGUGCAAACGUUGUUCGGAAUUACUGGGCGUAAAGCGUGUGUAGGCGGCCAUGUAAGUCGGAUGUGAAAGCCCCGGGCUUAACUCGGAAAGGUCAACUGAUACUGUGCGGCUAGAGUGCAGAAGGGGCAACUGGAAUUCUCGGUGUAGCGGUGAAAUGCGUAGAUAUCUGCAGGAACACCCGUGGCGAAAGCGGCGCGCUGGACCACUACUGACGCUGAGGAACGAAAGCUAGGGGAGCAAACAGG